CACAUCCGACCUCCGAGGAAGACUGACUUCUCUACAUCAUGGGGAGCACCUGCAUAUCAGGGGUAACACUGGGAGACAGUGAGGGUCUGACAGUGGAAAGAUCGCCUUCAAAUCAGGACCAACUCAUCAUUGACCUCACCACCCCACCAGCCUCCC